rnacentral:lncRNA from 1 species
AUUUUAUUAUGAUUAUAAUUUUAUAAAGGGUGUUUACAACCUCAUAAGUGCUUAAAACUAUUUAAUUAUUUAAAUUAGAGCAUAAAUUUUAUAAACUAUAAAGAGAACAAAUUAUAUUAUAUUUUUUGUAUACAAAGUGAAAAAUAAUGACUGGAAUUCUCAAGUUAUUCUAUAUCUUGUUUCUAUUUCUUUCCAUAUUUCUUAUAGCAAAGCAAGUUGGUGCUAACCGUAAGUAUUUUUUCACCCUCUUUAAAUAUACAUCUUUACUUUGUAGUUUGUUCAUAAUAUUUUAUUAUAUUUUUGUAAUUUUAUUUAACUAUCUCUUUUUAUUACAGAAGACUUCAUUGAAUGUGCAACUGAUGCUGAUUGUCCAAAAUCUUGGAAUGAAUAUUUAGCUAUUAAGUGUAUUAAUCAUGUAUGUAAGAUUGUUAGUAAUCUUCCUUAAUUUUAUAUUGUAUCAGACUCAGAAGAGUUCAAAAAUUCCCUAUAGAGGAAAAUGAAAUAUUGUGCUAGAAAAAUAAAUGCGUAAUAUAUCUUCUAACCUAAUGUUCCAUGAAUUGUCAUUUGAUUAUGGUAUGAGAACCUUAUAAUUUUUAUAUUUUUUUUUCUAAUUUUAUGAACCUUCCUUAGAAUAAACAAA